GAAGUGACGUGACUUCGCGACCUUUCGGCUCAGGGAUCAUGAUGGCGACCACCUCACCUGUACCUGAAGAGAAUCGUCCAACACGAAGGACGAGUGUUGGUCUGGUGCAACAACAAGCUCAUCUUCAGCUGCAGCACAGGUCCCCUACUACUGAAGACGAGGUUAAUGAACAUCACGUCUGCUCUGGUAAUUGGUCACUAAACCAUCAUUUAAAAUUACAGACUGUGGUAUUAAGAAACUGGAUUCAUCAAGUUACAUCUUUUGUUACAUAAAAUAGUUGACAUUAGUUCCCUAUGAUACAAACUCAAUAAAUGAUUCGAAAGGAUUCAGUAAGUGGACUUACAACUGGGGCUGUAUGAUAUGACAAUUAAUCAGAUGACAAAUAAAAACGUCUAUCAUUUUGUAUCACACUCAUGGACACAGGCAAGACCUGCAUCCGUACAAGAUAACAAGGGGUUAAAUACUGUUAAAUUCCUGUUGUAACCAGCGAUUAAUAAGAAUCAGAAUCAUUACAAAAAGAACCUUAAUCUGGAUCUGAUUUAAUUCAAUCUAAACAGAACUCAACCCUAGGACUGAAACUGAGAUAGUGGACUUUGAAGGGGGGCCAAAGUCCUGGAUGACACUUUGGCUUUUGAACCCAAACACAGAUGCUAUUUCUGGGGGGGGACUACAGAAGAUCGAUUCCCACAGAGUUCACUGGGGACGAGGGAAAGCCGCCAGAUCGACUUUGUCUUUAUAAUAAUGAUAUAAACUCCAGCUCCCUUCAGACAAAAUUACCCCGACCCUGAUCAUGAGAAAGUUGAUUUUAAGUAAACACACGCUGUUGCUUGUGUUUCCCUGGCAUUACUGACUCCCCCAAAAACCCGGUGGGGUCUGGGGACCUCCGGGGAUCCCUGAAGAGGUUUCCAGAUGCCGGAGAAACAGCUGCGAGUCUGUUACUUGGCUCAGCGGCUCUGACAGAGUGAAUAAAAACAGUUUAGACAAGAGAACCUCACUUCUCCUUGUGCUACUACUGCAGCCUGUUACGUAACUCAACACUUAAUCAUAACUGCUAACAAGCGUCACAUGGAGUUUCUCUGGAUGUGAUUGAAUCAGUUGAUGUGGACUCAGCAGGUCUGGGAAUCCCUGCUUCCACGUGGCUGAUUAAGAGCAAUAAUUCAUCAAUGAAAAAAAAAGGACAAAGCAGGACACAGUAGAAACCACAUCCAACAGACUUGCAGACCUUCAGUCAGCAACUUUUGUCUGUUGGCUCCAGGAACCAGUCUGGGAUACCCAGUUCAGACAAACUGGAAUCCAGUUCAGACCAUUCAACAGCCAACAAUUAUUUUCAUCACUGAUUCAUCUGCAGAUUAUUUUCUUAAUUAACUGUCUGGACUAUAAAAAGGUUGGAAGAUAGUGUAAAAUGCCAGAGUCCUGGGCUCUCAUAAACUCAGGUGGACAUUUUUUUGUUAAUAAGUAACUGAAAUUGAAGAUACUUGUUCUACGUGUCUAAAUAUGAGGACUGGUCUGAUUAUUUAGUCUAUAACCAGUUUAUAUGCCUAAUGUUGUCCACAAACUGUUUACAACUCAAGAAUAUUCAGUUUACACUCAUGUACGACAAAGAAGAGCAUCAAAUCCUCACAGUUAAAGGAUAGCUAAGGUACUUUUAACCUUACUUUCCAACGUUUCUGGGUGUAAAUGACUGAUAGGAGCAAAAACAUUCACUUCUGUAAAGGAUCUGAAAACGUCUUCCACCUCUAAAAGCAGAAAAAACAGAUGGAGGCAGUGGUAUUCUAGCAGCUCCUGUGCUCUGCUUGGAUAAAUUCUUGUUUUUGUCAAUAGAGUCUGGUAGGUAGUAGGCUCUUUAAUAAACAGGUGUACCUGUGUAGGAUUCCCAUCCAUAAUGUUGUCCAACACUUAUAAUAACAAUCUGAACCUGUCAGGAAGCUGGUUUGAUUGAUUGAUCUUCUGUGGAUCGAUUAUUUCGGCUGUAUAUUAGUGGAUAGUUGUAAGUUGUUCUAAAGGACGUUAGAGUGAAAACAGUUCAACGUGUUCAGGAAAAUGUGUUUAUUCAUUGUUCGUACUUUAAUAACUGAUCAUUCAUGACUGUGUCCACGUAGUGUUCGUGUUUAAUAACAAUAUAUGGUUAGUUAUGUAAUAACACAGCCCGCUAAUUCUCGGAGAAAACCAUCUGUAACCGCGCAUUAAAUCAGUUAUAACGGGGGUAU